rnacentral:lncRNA from 1 species
AUGCUUGCUUCGUCCUCCCCUCCCCCCACGAGCCCCCAGCUCUCUCUCCUGCAGCCCCAGGCAGGUUCUUGGUGGACUUGCCCCCGCCCCCGACCACCUCAGCUGCCCUUAAGCUCUUCAGACCUCAGGGGUCUUGGGAAUGGGGAGGAGGGUGGCAGCCAGAAGCUGGGCCACGGAGUCCAAACAUCUGGAGGCGUCCCUGAAAACUCCGUAGCCUUUCUGUCUCCUCUGUGUCUCCUGGCAUCCCACCUGCAUGGGGCGCCGUCCAGCACUGCAUGGGCCAGAGGCCCCUCCUGUCCCCUUCCCACGGCUGCUCGUCCUGUUCCGUGUGCGGCUCCCCACCCCCUGCCGCCCAUCACCCCUCAUGCCAGAGCGGGUCUCAGCUCUGCCACAACAGUUCCAUCUCCGGGACCCCCCAAGACUGGUCCCCAGCCCCCUCCACAUGCAUGUCACCGCAGGAUUCUGCUGCGAGCUUCUCCUCCUCCCCGUGUGACCUCCCGCGCCUCCUGGUACCCUCUCUACCCGCUUGCAGAGAUCAGUCUGCUUCUCCAUCAUGGUCCAGAUCUUUUCCCAAAAGAUUCCUCCAUGCUUUUCUUUUCAAAAGGGAAAAAAAAAGGAAAAAAAAAACAAUGCCAACAACCCAGCGUCCGUGAGCAACCCAACAGUAACAAAGCGUGUGUUCGGGAAGGAGGAAGAACUACAGCGAGAGGGAAGCAUCGAGACUCUGAGUAACAGCUCAGGUUCCACCAGCGGCAGCAUCCCAAGAAACUUCGACGGCUACCGAUCUCCGCUGCCCACCAAUGAGAGUCAGCCCCUCAGCCUCUUCCCUACCAGCUUCCAGUAGGUACCAGCGACCUGCUUCUGACUGGCCGGCGCACUCACCUGCUGGAGGGAAGCGGGAGAAGCCCUCCACUGGUCUUCCCCUUCAGACUCUGCUCCUCUCUUACCAACCACCCUCCCAAGCUUAGUGACAACAGCCGCUCACCCUCCCUGGAUGAGAAGAGACCCUUCUCCGCAGCGCCUCGGCGCACUCUGACCUGUGCCCCCAUCAGCGGGGCUGUGGCCUGGAGAGACUCUGCAGCAACUCCGUCCCCUCCUCCGUUGCACACGAUGUCCUGCCCGCACUGGAUCUGCUUUUGUAUUUUCUAACCAAACUCUCGGGGUGGGGGGGGGCGUGGGGGGCAGGUCUGGGUGGGGAGAGGGUGGAUGGCCCCGUGGGCACUUUGACCCCAAGUGGGCAGCCCCGGCCCACUCCUGGCUUUGGCACUCGCUGCCCAGCUUCCCUUGGCCAAGCUCCCCUGGCGAGGGGGUGAGCUGAGGCCCAGAGUAUUUGGGAAGGAGGAAGGAAGGAGAAGCCCCCUUCCCCCUUGGCUGCUGGAAAGGAUUUGUCUUUCUUGUCUGUAAGCCCUUGCACCCUGGUCCUGUGCUGUUCAGUGGAGGAAACCGUGGUUACCCAGGUCCUGUCAAAAAGUGCACGUCUCGUCCAAUAAAUCACGCUGCAAUUGGUGUCCAUCCCUGAGUUGCUGGGGUCAGGGUCCUUUCCAGGUGCUGAGCAGAGUCCUAGGGCCUGACCGUGUUCUUGCUCCCAGCACCCCCUGCGUCAACAUGGGGGGGGGGGUAGGAGGGAGAAGGAGGAUGUUUAUUCUGGACUCGGAAUCAGGGUGGAGCCUGACUUAAAUCCAUUCUCCCACCUGCUUGCCUGUCACCAUUGAGUUCUGGGGGCACCACAGUCCCGGACCCUCCCCAGCUGUGGCAGUCAGGUCCUCGGCACACGCGGGUGGGCUGCUGUGGGUAGGAGAGCCUGAGGAAGACCCUGGGCUUAUGUUUGGGACAGGGACCUUUGUCAUUGCCUCUUUUUUCAAACUCAGAAGAUGGAAGGCUGGUGGGGCCAAGGCGGGUCUCCCACAAAACCUGGCUGCCACCUUGGAUGACAAUUCCCUGAGGGGUUUCCCCUCCCUCCUCCCAAUUCUGGACCUAAAGCCAAUGGUAGGAAGGAGACAGGAGCAGGGGGAGCAGAGGGGUGUCAAGCAGGAUGGGAGACGAAUGCGAGCCCCAGUCUCGCCUUCCUUGAGACCCGGGAAGGGCCGGGGAGGAUUGAAGGAAACCCACUGAGCCAGGUGUGGUUUGGAGUGACGUUUAAUGUGACAGCCACAGAAGAGUUACGUUCACAAACAAGCAGGGCUUCCCAUCCAGUCGUCCAGCCCGAGCAGGGACAGCUCCAGUGCCCCUCCCCGACCCGUUGGGCAUGCUGGGCAAAGGGGGACCUGAGUCACACUCAGCUCUGAAGCGAGGGUGGCUGAAGCCAGUCCCUCCUGCCUGGGAACCUGUGGGGUGAGGAAUCACGUGCCAGAGUGAGGCAUGCUGGGAACGGAGGGAGGCCCGGGCCUGGUGGGGGCUGCCGGACGAGCAGCAGCUCUUCCCCUUCCAGCUCAGUUGGAGACAUCGAGGUGCCUGGCACAGCCCCCACCUCCAGCCCGAGCCGAGUUUCCGUCCAAGGGGGCCAGGGAGGGAGGGGGCUGCCACCAGUCUGCCUUUGCACACUGCCCAUGGCCUGGCUCCUUGUGGAAGGGUCCAGAGCUUGAGGCAGGCAGGGGUAGGCCUCUCUGAACCCACCCACGGGCACGUGGAUGGGACCAAGACGGAGAGCCCGGAGCGCCCUCCAACCACGCAGGAAAGCGGCUGGCAUCUUCGAGUCAGGAGUCCUCCCUGGCUCAGCCCUCACCCUCCAGGGGGUGCAAAACAGCUGUGGCCUCCUUCAGUCAGGGAAAGUGGUGGGUGUAGGGCUGGACUUGCCGGCUGAGCUUGCAGGACAAUCUGGUUAUUCAUCUGCUCGCAGCCAGGGCGACUCUUUGAGUAUGUGGGGGAAGGGGGAGGAUAAGAGAGGCCAGAUAAGCUGGCCCCAUGGCGGCUGCCACUGGAGCUGGGGUUAUCAGAGAGGCCUUGGGCCUGGCCCCUGGCUAAUUGGAGAGGUUAUAGACCCUGCCCCAGCCUGUAAUCAGCUGGAAGUGAGAGCUGGGCCCCAGGGUGGGGGACCGUACUGCCCACUGGCCCUGGAGCAGCCAGCCUCCUAUCCUCUAGAGAUAACACCCAGGGCGCUCUCCGCCUCACUCCCAGCAGCCCCAGCAGACCUCCAUGAUGGCAUCACCCAGGAGGCCAUCAGAACAUGCAUCUAAAUUGUGGCCUGAGCAGGUGACCUUGAGGAAGACAUGUGACCUCCCUGAUUCUUACACUGCUACCUGCUCGACAAGCAAAUGACUGUGGACCUUCUCUCAAUGUGAGGGAGGAACAAAAAAAUCUUCACGGUUUUUGAGGAGGCAGAGGGGAGCUGGGGUGGCCGCUCAGGGAUAGAGGGCACUGUCUGGGAUCGAUUGGUGCGGUGGCCCCGCGGUCUCAAGGUAAAUUCAGGUGCACAGCACUCUGUCAAACACGAGUGUCAGCUCCUCUGGAAACAAACAGGCGAGAGCAGGCAGCUGUCAGUCUAGGACUGGAAAUGGGUUUCUCAGGGCUAGUUUUUCUGAGUGUUCACACAUCAGAGAAUCUCUAGCUAGAAGGUACCUAAAAGUGCUGUUUGGUCCUCAAUUUGCAGAGAAGAAGGCUGAGCCCCAGAGAAGCCUUGCCCCGUGGUUAAGAUGACACACAGCUAAUCUGGGACCCCUGUCUGCUCCUUGCUGCCUCACAUGCCCUUGGCCAGGUCCCUUGGAGGGCUCUAUUCUGCACGAACCUCCCUAUCCCACGCACAAAAUCCAGGAUUCUGAGCCCACUCACCCCCAUUUCCUACCCCUAAGAGCAUCCAGCCCUGGCCUCUGGCUUUGAAGCUGCUCCUUUGUCCCUGUGUAAUUGACAAGGCAGCCCUCUCCUGCAGACUGAGAGCUGCAAACCCAAGGGGCAAAAGGGAAGAACCUCUAGGACCAUCCUGUAUUCAAAGCAAGAGCCUAGGGGUGGGGCCCUGGAGUCGCAGUAUUGCCUUACUGCUUGAGCAGGUGUAGCUAGCAGGACGGCAAUGCCAUCACCAGCUUUUAGGGAGUGGCCUUGGGUCCCAUCCCAGCUCUGCCACCAGUAGCUGUGUGGCCUAUGGUAAAUAUACGGCAGCUCUGGGCUCAUCUGUGUAGUGAGGGGAGGGGAGCACACCCAGCGAAGAGCAUCAAGGCCAGGCCAAAGCAGGCAAAGGAGAAGCUAUGGGUCAAAAAAGUAAAAGACGGGUUAGAGGCCCAGAGGCUGACCAGACGGGCCAGGUAGCUCCUUGGCAAGGGAGAGGGAGGGCAGGUGAGGCGAUGCUGGAGUCCCCAAGCUGCUCCUGCUGCUCCCUGCAGACCAGUCAGGAGCCUGGUGAGUGCUGCAGGCCAGCCCCGCCCCAUCUCACAGGUGAGCUGGCUCUAGGGAGUCCUUUCUCUGGCCUCUCCCCCUCUCUCAAGCCACUUAGCAGGGAGCUUAUUCACUCUGCCACGGUGCCAGGCACCCACACUCGUGCUCUCACACCCAUGCACAUCUAUGCACUGGCAGGUUCACCGAUGUGUACCUCACUUUUGCACAUCCUUGUGUCCCAAGCAGACGGCUUUACCCUGCGGACCUUGGCCCCAGAGCAUAACACAGUCUGGAGCUCCCAGGAUGAUGGAAUCCCUAAAACUCUGGGGAAGUCGUCCAAAGUCUGGCGGGGAUGUGUCUCGGUUGCAGGGCCCUAUGACCUUGUACCGAGUGACACCUGAGGGCCAGGGCUGUCCCUCAACAGAGCUGCCAGUCUGGCUUUUCUGUUGGCGGGGAAGACUGGGGACAGGGCUACACAGGCAGUACGGCCCAGGCACUUCCUGGGACCUAACCGGAAGAAGUGGUUCUGCUCCCUGUCCCCGAGUAAGGUGGGGGCCACAACCCAGCUGGGAAGAAGUCGGGCCUCCCACUCUCCCCUCGGCCCCCCGCCCCACCCCAGCCACUUGGCCCAACCCUGCGCAGGGUAAUUGGGUCGGGAGG